ACUCGCUUACCGGAGUUUCAGUUUGUCUGCGGGCGAAGCGGCCGGACCCGUCCAGGAAGGCAUCCCGGACCCCGACGGGGCUGGAGAGCGGCCGAGAGAGACCCCCCCCCUCCCCUCCAGCAAUCCGGGACCCGGACAGGCAGCGAGCAGAAGGCGCGGAGAGGAUUGCAAAGGGGCGUCGAGAGAGAGGGAAACCGGAGUGGCUUCGGAUUAAACCGGAGACUGGAAGAGGAUUUAUUUCCAAAGCAGACGUGGGGUUUGGCAGCCGGCAGCCCCCGCUGGCGUAUCUCCUGGCUCCGCCGGCCACCAGCUGGGGGGCUCCGGAUCUGCCCUGUCCCGCUUGGAGCCCCCUUGGGUGGGGAUCAGGAGGAGGAGAAGGAGAGGAGGAGGAGGAAGGCAGCCGCCGGCCAAACAUGAGCCAGCAUGUCUGACAAAAUGUCCAGCUUCCUCUACAUCGGCGAUGUGGUCUCGCUUUACGCCGAGGGCUCGGUCAACGGCUUCAUCAGCACCCUGGGGCUGGUGGAUGACAGGUGUGUGGUUCAGCCCGAAGCAGGUGAUCUUUGCAACCCACCCAAAAAGUUCCGAGGUAUAAUGCCAGAAAAACUUGAUAAGCAAAGUACAUAUUUGAUUCUACAUGUGAUAACAGCG